rnacentral:tRNA from 1 species
AAAAAAUAGUUUAAAUUAAAAUAAUAAUUUUGGAGAUUAUUGAUAUAAAAUUUUAUUUUUUUGAA